UGUUUUUGCACUGUCCUUCACUGAUCUUGUCUGACCUUGGAAGUUAAGCAGGAUCACUUCCUGCUAAGACUUUGAUGGGAGACCACNUCGGGCCACUGGGUGCUGAGGCAA
rnacentral:rRNA from 1 species